rnacentral:rRNA from 1 species
UACUUGAACUUCGGUUUGGGUGGCGGACGGGUGAGUAACGCGUAAAGAACUUGCCUCACAGUUAGGGACAACAUUUGGAAACGAAUGCUAAUACCUGAUAUUAUGAUUUUAGGGCAUCCUAAGAUUAUGAAAGCUAUAUGCGCUGUGAGAGAGCUUUGCGUCCCAUUAGCUAGUUGGAGAGGUAACGGCUCACCAAGGCGAUGAUGGGUAGCCGGCCUGAGAGGGUGAACGGCCACAAGGGGACUGAGGCACGGCCCUUACUCCUACGGGAGGCAGCAGUGGGGAAUAUUGGACAAUGGACCAAAAGUCUGAUCCAGCAAUUCUGUGUGCACGAUGACGUUUUUCGGAAUGUAAAGUGCUUUCAGUUGGGAAGAAAAAAAUGACGGUACCAACAGAAGAAGUGACGGCUAAAUACGUGCCAGCAGCCGCGGUAAUACGUAUGUCACAAGCGUUAUCCGGAUUUAUUGGGCGUAAAGCGCGUCUAGGUGGUUAUGUAAGUCUGAUGUGAAAAUGCAGGGCUCAACUCUGCAUUGCGUUGGAAACUGCAUGACUAGAGUACUGGAGAGGUAAGCGGAACUACAAGUGUAGAGGUGAAAUUCGUAGAUAUUUGUAGGAAUGCCGAUGGGGAAGCCAGCUUACUGGACAGAUACUGACGCUAAAGCGCGAAAGCGUGGGUAGCAAACAGGAUUAGAUACCCUGGUAGUCCACGCCGUAAACGAUGAUUACUAGGUGUUGGGGGUCGA